CCUACGGGUGGCUGCAGUGGGGAAUAUUGGGCAAUGGGCGCAAGCCUGACCCAGCAACGCCGCGUGAAGGAAGAAGGCUUUCGGGUUGUAAACUUCUUUUCUGAGGGACGAAGAAAGUGACGGUACCUCAGGAAUAAGCCACGGCUAACGACGUGCAAGCAGCCGCGGUAAUACGUAGGUGGCAAGCGUUAUCCGGAUUCAUUGGGGGUAAAGGGCGGGUAGGCGGGAAAGCAAGUCAGAGGUGAAAACUCAGGGCUCAACCCUGGGCCUGCAUUUGAAACUGUUGUGCUUGAGUGCAGGAGAGGCAAUCGGAAUUCCGGGUGUAGCGGUGAAAUGCGUAGAGAUAAGGAGGAACACCAGUGGCGAAGGCGGAUUGCUGGACAGUAACUGACGCUGAGGCGCGAAAGCGUGGGGAGCAAACAGGAUUAGAUACCCCAGUAGUC
rnacentral:rRNA from 1 species